UACGUAGGGUGCGAGCGUUGUCCGGAAUUACUGGGCGUAAAGAGCUCGUAGGUGGUUUGUCGCGUUGUUCGUGAAAACUCACAGCUUAACUGUGGGCGUGCGGGCGAUACGGGCAGACUAGAGUACUGCAGGGGAGACUGGAAUUCCUGGUGUAGCGGUGGAAUGCGCAGAUAUCAGGAGGAACACCGGUGGCGAAGGCGGUUCUCUGGCCCGAUACUGACGCUGAGGCACGAAAGCGUGGGGAGCAAACAGG
rnacentral:rRNA from 1 species